CUCCCAUCCACAGGUGGAGUCUGAGUCCCCCUCCUCCAUCCUGGGUGGGAGGGACUUUGUAAUUACCUGCGUGAAGAGAAUGAGUCAGACGUGAUGUUAAUUGUCUUCUGAGGCUGGGUCAUAAAAGGCGAUACAGCUUCCACCUGCGAUGCUCUCCCUUCGAGCCCAGCUGCCGAGCUCUGAGCAAAUCCAAACCAGCCCGUGCGAGAGGCUGCAUGGUGGGGGCUCAUGGGGAGAGGAACCGAGGCCCUCAGCCGCUGACCAACGUUAUCCCCCAGCCCCCAGCCUCUGAGUCCGCCCGAGGAGGGUCCAGACGACACAGAGCAGAGACAAGCUGUCCCCGCUGUCUGAAUUCCUGACCUGCAGAAUCUAUUCCCACCCAUUUCCAGACUCUCUGGACGUUGAAUUCAAUUCAACAGCUGUCAGAAGACUUUCUGUGAGUCCGGGACUGUUCCAGCCUGAGGGGAUAAGAAGGAAGUCAAGAUGAGCCCCUGACACUCGCAGGUUGGAGGGGGGGGGCACAUCCGAGCUCAGCAUCGCCACCCUUCCUCCUCUGGCCACUGCAUGUAUCGCUCUGAUGUGUCUCUGAAGAUGGAAACCCUGCCUCUCUGGAUGGCUGUCAUCAGCUGCCUUCUCUUGGAAUAAAUGCUUUUGUGGAAGCAGAGGACCUUGAGAAACCACGAUAAAGGCUCUUGCCCGCCAGUUCCCGUUCUCCCUCUGCUUCCUGACCAACCCCAGUGCUUCCCCGUGUGCCCCUCCCCCCGCGGCCUAGCCUGCCCCCUCCUCUUGGGAUUUCCUGGUCCUGAGGGGUGGAGAGUCAAAGUCACCAGGAAACAGAGGGUUCUCAGCCAGCGCUAUUGUGCUCGCCUGUAUCAGGAAGCGGAGCUUCUGAGUUACCGUUAAAGUGAAGAAAUGUCAUUAUUUGUUUGAACCUUCUUCUCGUCAUAAUCUUUGGAAAGGUUAUUACAUUCAAUAGUUACACCUGACACACCUGUAAAGUCUUCUAAUUUUCGUGAAAUGUGAAGUCUUCGAAUUUUCAAUCCACUCUUCUGUAGAAGCAAAGGAGCAUUCUCCAGC